AGUGAACGCUGGCGGUAGGCCUAACACGUGCAAGUCGAACGGCAGCACAGUAAGAGCUUGCUCUUACGGGUGGCGAGUGGCGGACGGGUGAGGAAUACAUCGGAAUCUACUUUUUCGUGGGGGAUAACGUAGGGAAACUUACGCUAAUACCGCAUACGACCUACGGGUGAAAGCAGGGGAUCUUCGGACCUUGCGCGAUUGAAUGAGCCGAUGUCGGAUUAGCUAGUUGGCGGGGUAAAGGCCCACCAAGGCGACGAUCCGUAGCUGGUCUGAGAGGAUGAUCAGCCACACUGGAACUGAGACACGGUCCAGACUCCUACGGGGGGCAGCAGUGGGGAAUAUUGGACAAUGGGCGCAAGCCUGAUCCAGCCAUACCGCGUGGGUGAAGAAGGCCUUCGGGUUGUAAAGCCCUUUUGUUGGGAAAGAAAAGCAGCAGGUUAAUACCCCGCUGUUCUGACGGUACCCAAAGAAUAAGCACCGGCUAACUUCGUG
rnacentral:rRNA from 1 species